GAUGAACGCUAGCUACAGGCUUAACACAUGCAAGUCGCGGGGCAGCAUGGGGGUUGCUUGCAAUCCCCGAUGGCGACCGGCGCACGGGUGAGUAACGCGUAUCCAACCUGCCCUUCACCACGGGAUAACCCGGCGAAAGUCGGACGAAUACCGUAUGUUGUCCAUUGACGGCAUCCGAUUUGGACGCAGGGCUGGGCGGUGAGGGAUGGGGAUGCGUCCGAUUAGCCAGACGGCGGGGUAACGGCCCACCGUGGCUACGAUCGGUAGGGGUUCUGAGAGGAAGGUCCCCCACACUGGAACUGAGACACGGUCCAGACUCCUACGGGAGGCAGCAGCGAGGAAUAUUGGUCAAUGGGCGUAAGCCUGAACCAGCCAAGUAGCGUGCAGGAUGACGGCCCUAUGGGUUGUAAACUGCUUUUAUGCGGGGAUAAAGUGGCCCACGUGUGGGCUUUUGCAGGUACCGCAUGAAUAAGGACCGGCUAAUUCCGUG
rnacentral:rRNA from 1 species